rnacentral:tRNA from 1 species
CAGAGAAUAGUUUAUAUAAAAUAUUAAUUUUGGAGAUUAAUGAAAAGUUUUUCUUUUCUCUGA